rnacentral:lncRNA from 1 species
UUCUUCGCCCGAGUGCCGGGGAAGUAGUAAUUAGUGUCUGGGAGCUAAGCUCCUCCACUUCUCCCAGCGCCUCUGGCGAUUUCCAAGUGGGAUCUGCGACUUCAGGGCUCUGGCCAAGCCCGCAGGCUGGCGUGAUUAGUUGCUGUUGAAGGGGGCUCCGCCAAUGAAAUCUUCUCUGCGCUCUGAUUUGGCGGUUCUUCGGUGCAAAUAUGACAGCUUUCUCUCUCAGCUCUUUUCUGCAUCUCUCCAUGUCCGACCCCGGAGCCCAGUUCUUGGUCUGCAAUUUUUACACCACAACCUUUGCAGUCACCACCACCACCACCCCUAGGUCCCAUGUCAGCAGGUGCCAGAUUGCUACAAAGGUGACAGGGCACAUUGGGAAGAAGGCUUGUUGAUUGCAGAAGAUACUUAUGCCCCGUGUUUCCAGGUCAAUGCCUGUGUGCUCCAUCAGUUAACGGGGAGUAGUAGUUAGCAGAGAAUAUUAGUGAGGCUUUGGUUGGAGAGGUGGGAUUUUGCUGUCUAUCGAGGAAAAUAAAAGAUGUGAACUUCCUGUGUUCAG